rnacentral:pre_miRNA from 1 species
GGGCUGAGAGUGGAAAGGAACCCAAGGGAGGGCAGGCUGCCCCAGGGUCUGCCUUCUCCAGGAAGCCUUCUCACUGCAGCCC